rnacentral:ncRNA from 2 species
CAAAAUAUAGUGUGAACAGAUAAUGUCGUGUUCUGAUAGAUACGAUAUUAUGAGAGGGAAGAACGGUGUAAAUCCGUCACGGUCCCGCCACUGUAACCGGAUAUCCGGUCAUCACAUCAGAGAGCCGGAAUGCUUGGUGUAAGCCACCGUAAUGGGAAGAAACCAAACCUUUUUUCGGGAGUCAGAACACUCGCCUGUUUCACGCGCAAUCC